UGUGUGUUAGUGGAAGCGUCUGGAAAGGCGCGCGAUACAGGGUGACAGCCCCGUACACAAAAAUGCACAUGCUGUGAGCUCGAUGAGUAGGGCGGGACACGUGGUAUCCUGUCUGAAUAUGGGGGGACCAUCCUCCAAGGCUAAAUACUCCUGACUGACCGAUAGUGAACCAGUACCGUGAGGGAAAGGCGAAAAGAACCCCGGCGAGGGGAGUGAAAAAGAACCUGAAACCGUGUACGUACAAGCAGUGGGAGCACGCUUAGGCGUGUGACUGCGUACCUUUUGUAUAAUGGGUCAGCGACUUAUAUUCUGUAGCAAGGUUAACCGAAUAGGGGAGCCGAAGGGAAACCGAGUCUUAACUGGGCGUUAAGUUGCAGGGUAUAGACCCGAAACCCGGUGAUCUAGCCAUGGGCAGGUUGAAGGUUGGGUAACACUAACUGGAGGACCGAACCGACUAAUGUUGAAAAAUUAGCGGAUGACUUGUGGCUGGGGGUGAAAGGCCAAUCAAACCGGGAGAUAGCUGGUUCUCCCCGAAAGCUAUUUAGGUAGCGCCUCGUGAAUUCAUCUCCGGGGGUAGAGCACUGUUUCGGCAAGGGGGUCAUCCCGACUUACCAACCCGAUGCAAACUGCGAAUACCGGAGAAUGUUAUCACGGGAGACACACGGCGGGUGCUAACGUCCGUCGUGAAGAGGGAAACAACCCAGACCGCCAGCUAAGGUCCCAAAGUCAUGGUUAAGUGGGAAACGAUGUGGGAAGGCCCAGACAGCCAGGAUGUUGGCUUAGAAGCAGCCAUCAUUUAAAGAAAGCGUAAUAGCUCACUGGUCGAGUCGGCCUGCGCGGAAGAUGUAACGGGGCUAAACCAUGCACCGAAGCUGCGGCAGCGACGCUUAUGCGUUGUUGGGUAGGGGAGCGUUCUGUAAGCCUGCGAAGGUGUGCUGUGAGGCACGCUGGAGGUAUCAGAAGUGCGAAUGCUGACAUAAGUAACGAUAAAGCGGGUGAAAAGCCCGCUCGCCGGAAGACCAAGGGUUCCUGUCCAACGUUAAUCGGGGCAGGGUGAGUCGACCCCUAAGGCGAGGCCGAAAGGCGUAGUCGAUGGGAAACAGGUUAAUAUUCCUGUACUUGGUGUUACUGCGAAGGGGGGACGGAGAAGGCUAUGUUGGCCGGGCGACGGUUGUCCCGGUUUAAGCGUGUAGGCUGGUUUUCCAGGCAAAUCCGGAAAAUCAAGGCUGAGGCGUGAUGACGAGGCACUACGGUGCUGAAGCAACAAAUGCCCUGCUUCCAGGAAAAGCCUCUAAGCAUCAGGUAACAUCAAAUCGUACCCCAAACCGACACAGGUGGUCAGGUAGAGAAUACCAAGGCGCUUGAGAGAACUCGGGUGAAGGAACUAGGCAAAAUGGUGCCGUAACUUCGGGAGAAGGCACGCUGAUAUGUAGGUGAAGUCCCUCGCGGAUGGAGCUGAAAUCAGUCGAAGAUACCAGCUGGCUGCAACUGUUUAUUAAAAACACAGCACUGUGCAAACACGAAAGUGGACGUAUACGGUGUGACGCCUGCCCGGUGCCGGAAGGUUAAUUGAUGGGGUUAGCGCAAGCGAAGCUCUUGAUCGAAGCCCCGGUAAACGGCGGCCGUAACUAUAACGGUCCUAAGGUAGCGAAAUUCCUUGUCGGGUAAGUUCCGACCUGCACGAAUGGCGUAAUGAUGGCCAGGCUGUCUCCACCCGAGACUCAGUGAAAUUGAACUCGCUGUGAAGAUGCAGUGUACCCGCGGCAAGACGGAAAGACCCCGUGAACCUUUACUAUAGCUUGACACUGAACAUUGAGCCUUGAUGUGUAGGAUAGGUGGGAGGCUUUGAAGUGUGGACGCCAGUCUGCAUGGAGCCGACCUUGAAAUACCACCCUUUAAUGUUUGAUGUUCUAAC
rnacentral:rRNA from 1 species